rnacentral:tRNA from 1 species
GCCCAAGUGGUGGAAAUGGUAGACACGCUGUCUUGAGGGGGCAGUGGCCGAAAGGUCGUGGGAGUUCGAAUCUCCCCUUGGGCACCA